rnacentral:rRNA from 1 species
UACGGAGGGGGCUAGCGUUGUUCGGAAUCACUGGGCAUAAAGGGAGCGUAGGCGGCGCGGUAAGUCAGAUGUGAAAUCCCGGGGCUCAACCCCGGAACUGCAUCCGAUACUGCCAUGCUAGAGGAUUGGAGAGGUAGCUGGAAUUCUUGGUGUAGCAGUGAAAUGCGUAGAGAUCAAGAGGAACACUCGUGGCGAAAGCGAGCUACUGGACAAUUCCUGACGCUGAGGCUCGAAGGCUAGGGUAGCGAAAGGG